GAGUUUGAUCAUGGCUCAGAUUGAACGCUGGCGGCAUGCCUUACACAUGCAAGUCGAACGGUAACAGGUCUUCGGAUGCUGACGAGUGGCGAACGGGUGAGUAAUACAUCGGAACGUGCCCGAUCGUGGGGGGAUAACGAAGCGAAAGCUUUGCUAAUACCGCAUACGAUCUACGGAUGAAAGCAGGGGACCGCAAGGCCUUGCGCGAACGGAGCGGCCGAUGGCAGAUUAGGUAGUUGGUGGGAUAAAAGCUUACCAAGCCGGCGAUCUGUAGCUGGUCUGAGAGGACGACCAGCCACACUGGGACUGAGGCACGGCCCAGACUCCUACGGGAGGCAGCAGUGGGGAAUUUUGGACAAUGGGCGAAAGCCUGAUCCAGCCAUGCCGCGUGCAGGAUGAAGGCC
rnacentral:rRNA from 1 species